GUGUUUAUUUGUAAUAUCAAAUAAUGAUUAAAUCAUAAAUGAUCUGACAAUUUCUGGAAAACUGUCAAUAUUUGUUUAUAAAAUAUCUAUCGUUUAGAUUGAUCUUCCUUCCACCACACAUGUAGUACUUCUUUAAGCAAGCUUACAUUUAAGACAUUGCACUGACCACUUGUUCUGUUUAUCCGCCAUGUUAGUUUUUUUAAGCGUUAGUGAACGCGUGUUUGAUCAAUCAUGAAGCACUUUAAGCUUCCUUAGAUUUUAUCUCCCCCGGCCUUAUCUGAUCAAGUUAUUCCUCUAAAGGAAUGGAUCCUUUAUCUGGAAUAGAACAAAAAAAAAGUACCAAACCUCACGAACCUACAAGAUAAUCAAACAAAUAAGUUGCCAAACAACAUAAAUCCCAAAAGAAAAAACACGCAUUAAAACACACAAAAAAAAACUUGAACCAAAGAAAACAAAAAUCGUUACAGCUCUCACAAAGUAAGUGCGUGCAUAUUUUUAUUAUUACUACUUGGAGAGAUAGAAAAAAUCGUUAGGGUACAGCAAAGUAUGACCCUCUUACCACUUUAAGUAUACCACUUAACUGUCUGACUCAUACCGAAUUCAGUUCUAUAAAGUCUUGUUAGAUUGUGAUAUAUAAGGCAAGUGUAUUUUAUCCUGUGUAUUUUUCUUCAUGUAUAUAGCAUUGAUUUUCUAAAUAAGUUAUGACAGAGCAUAAGCUGGAUGAGAGACGGUUGAGAAUAUAAGGGACUUUUGAUGUUAUGUGUAGAAUUAGAGGCAAGUAGAUUAUAGCAUGUAUAAUUUGUUAAAUUACUUAUACAAAAUAGUUUUGCAAAUACGUUGUCUUUAAAAUGCUUAAUCCAAAGUACAACAAUUUAGAAAGAGAAAAGUUUGUUUUUUUUGUUUUUUUUUUUUUUUUUACAAUUUUGUCUCUAUUUUGAGCCCCGAUGUUAUUCCUUUUUUAAUACGAGACGCGAAUGAUAGGCGCUUUCCGACAUUGUAAGUGUUUGUGUAUAAUUUUUUCAAGUGCCCUAAUUUUUUUGUUUUUACAAUUCCGCCGAUUCUCGGAAGUGUGUUUCAAAACGUGACUGGGCCGUCAAUCCCAAUCCCUACCAUUUAGACCCAACAGAAGAGAAGAACAACUUUAAACAAGGCUAAUAUCAUUUCAGUUGCAUAUCUUUUCAAGUCAUAAGUACGGAAGAAAGGCAGGAAUGGAUGACAUCGAUGGUUUGAUAACCCGUGUUCAAUCCAGGACAGUGUGUUGUGUGAAGGACAAUGACGACAUUGAUAGUUCACACUCAAUGAUUCCACAUGGCGAAUCGACUUAUGACGAAAAAACCCAAAGUGUUCGGAGUCUAGAUAUACAAAAUGAAAAUAAUGCGGAUGUUGUAAAGUUUUCAGAGAUUGAACGUCCAAUAAUAAUGGAGGAGAGCAACAAAAGAAGUGAGAGAAUGCUUUUGCAGAACAUACGUGAGGAAAACGUUGUCGGAAUUUCUGAGAGGGAUAGUGCAGAAGCCAUUGACAAAAAUAAAUUAGGAAAAAUUUUCCAAAGACCAAGCAAAAACGAUUAUGAUAAGCUCGAUGCAAGUCCUUUUGUGUCAGAAAUUUUUGUGAAACACCCUGAUGAAGACAGUGAUAAGGGUGACCCUCUUGGAGGAUUCCUUUGUACGGGUUCACGGAGUGACGGAACCUUUCUUCACGAAUUCUGCAGCCUGCAACCAGACGGAAUCUUAGCAAAGGACCUUUCUGUAAGAGAAAAAGACAUUUUAGUGCGUCUGAAUGAGAAAAACACUCUUGGAUCACUUGAGUAUGAUCAUGAAGGCAUCCUUGAGCUCUUUCGGACACUGCCAACGUUAAAGACCAUUUCAAUGGUAAAUUUUCGCUCUCGUUUUAUUUUCUGCUCUUUCGCCCUCGGUGAAACAUACAAUGGGAAAUCGGAAACGUUCACAACCGUCGAAUUUCUACUCGAAGGAACUAAAGAAGAAAUCAUAGUCAAAGAAAACUCAGUAAUGCUUACGGCCCAACCACCUUCAGUAGAAGCACUUAUAUAUCAGAGAGGUAAUACAUCAUUGGCUUAUCAGAAUGGUCAGCUUGCCUUAUGCAAAUCUGCAAAUUUUCUGACAGACUGUACACGACGGAACAGACGAGGCUUAUAUUAAAUCAUUUCAAAUAGAAAAAAUAAAAAGGGAUUCUUUCCUGAAACCACGUGGAAAAGAUGAUAUGUAUGUCUAUUAUAACAAAUUUAAAGGAAUUUACGAAGCUGUGAGUCGAGCAGAUGCUCUCAAAGAUGAAGGGUUUGGAAUGAUUAUUAUACCAACACCAUGUCAACCAUAAAAGGGACCGACGUCUAAGAAAACACUUCAUUCUUCUUAAUUUGUUAUUCCACCACUAAUUUAAAAGAGGGCCGCUUAUUUAAAGCAUUUUAACCUUAAAAUAUCAGUUUAAACUUUUAGACAUAAUAAGAAGGUUUUUAUUUAGACGUGUUCGUAGAUUUUCAUUUGCUGUUUCAACAUCGCAACUUUUUUUUCUCUGGAAUGAAAGAAAAUUUCUCACGGACAUGUUGUAUAUUUGACUUUGAUUUGCAUCGGCUAUUGUCUUAUUCAUACCAUGUAUUGUAUGUAAUGAGUCUAAUCGUAGAUAUGUAUCGCAGUGCGCAGUAUACACUUAUUCAGUAGCUGUGAAUCAGAUAGCUCUCCUUUCAAGCCCGAGGCAGGUACAGACGGGAAAUUGUCAAUUGUGUAGAGUUUUAUGGAACAGCUGUCCAAAUUAAAGCUAAGGGAUGUGUGAUGUAUUAUACGGAUGUUUAAUGCAGUGCAUUUUAAGUGUCUUGUCAUCAGUAACUCUAUCAAUAUAUAAUUUAUCACCUACAGCUAUUGAAAAAUUUUGUGUUAAUGAUGUAUGUGCCUGCUGAUCAGCUAUUCACAAGGAAAAUUGUAUCAAUAAGAGCACUUUUACGUUCUUAACAUUAUCUAAUUAAUUCUAUCUGCACCCCGGGUAUGGCUUUGGAAUACUUUCAAAAAAUAAUUACACUAUCAAAAAAGUUAUAUCCGCAUAAAGUUCAUAAAUUAGGAUUUAAACAUUUUAUCAGAAACCGACUAUGACUCCCCCCCCCCCCCCC